AUUGAACGCUGGCGGCAGGCUUAACACAUGCAAGUCGAACGAGUGGCGGACGGGUGAGUAAUGCUUGGGAAUCUAGCUUAUGGAGGGGGAUAACUACGGGAAACUGUAGCUAAUACCGCGUACCAUAGGAUGAGCCCAAGUGGGAUUAGGUUGUUGGUGAGGUAACGGCUCACCAAGCAGACGAUCGCUAGCUGGUCUGAGAGGAUGACCAGCCACACUGGGACUGAGACACGGUCCAGACUCCUACGGGAGGCAGCAGUGGGGAAUAUUGCGCAAUGGGGGCAACCUGACGCAGCCAUGCCGCGUGAAUGAAGAAGGCCUUCGGGUUGUAAAGUUCUUUCAGAAGUGAGGCGUUAACGACAGAAGAAGCACCGGCUAACUCCGUGCCAGCAGCCGCGGUAAUUC
rnacentral:rRNA from 1 species